UGAAGAGGCUCUGCCACAGGAGUCACAGAGCAGGACACGCAGCUAUGGCAGCAGCCAGAGAAAAAUGCACCCUUGGAAUAAAGUGGAACAAUAGCUGUUCACUCCAGUUUUAGGUAUAUGAAUAAUCAUAUUUUUCUGUUUGACGUUUUCUUUUAAAAGGCAGGUAGAGCCCUUGCCGGUUUGGCUCAGUGGAUUGAGCACUGGCCUUUGAUCCAAAGGGUCGCCAGUU